rnacentral:tRNA from 1 species
UCAUUGGUGGUUCAUGGGUAGAAUCUCACCUCCCAUGCAGGAGACCCAGGUUCAAUUCCUGGCCAGUGCA